rnacentral:rRNA from 1 species
UACGUAGGGUGCGAGCGUUGUCCGGAAUUACUGGGCGUAAAGAGCUCGUAGGCGGUUUGUCGCGUCUGCUGUGAAAACCCGAGGCUCAACCUCGGGCCUGCAGUGGGUACGGGCAAACUAGAGUGCGGUAGGGGAGAAUGGAAUUCCUGGUGUAGCGGUGGAAUGCGCAGAUAUCAGGAGGAACACCGAUGGCGAAGGCAGUUCUCUGGGCCGUAACUGACGCUGAGGAGCGAAAGCGUGGGGAGCGAACAGG